rnacentral:rRNA from 1 species
UACAGAGGGUGCAAGCGUUAAUCGGAUUUACUGGGCGUAAAGGGCGCGUAGGCGGUUUGUUAAGUGAGAUGUGAAAUCCCUGGGCUCAACCUAGGAACUGCAUCUUAUACUGGGAGACUAGAGUACUGUAGAGGGUAGUGGAAUUUCCGGUGUAGCGGUGAAAUGCGUAGAGAUCGGAAGGAACACCAGUGGCGAAGGCGGCUACCUGGACAGAUACUGACGCUGAGGCGCGAGAGCGUGGGGAGCAAACAGG